rnacentral:tRNA from 1 species
GCCCACGUAGCUCAGUUGGUAGAGUGCUUCCUUGGUAAGGGAGAGGUCAUCGGUUCAAUCCCGAUCGCGGGCUCCA